GGGCCCAUAGUAUAGUGGUAAUACGGGGCAUUCGCAUUGCUCAGACGGGAGUUCGAUUCUCCCUGGGUCCACCA
rnacentral:tRNA from 2 species